AUUGAACGCUGGCGGCAGGCUUAACACAUGCAAGUCGAACGGUAGCAGGAGAAAGCUUGCUUUCUUGCUGACGAGUGGCGGACGGGUGAGUAAUGCUUGGGAAUCUGGCUUAUGGAGGGGGAUAACGACGGGAAACUGUCGCUAAUACCGCGUAUUAUCGGAAGAUGAAAGUGCGGGACUGAGAGGCCGCAUGCCAUAGGAUGAGCCCAAGUGGGAUUAGGUAGUUGGUGGGGUAAAUGCCUACCAAGCCUGCGAUCUCUAGCUGGUCUGAGAGGAUGACCAGCCACACUGGAACUGAGACACGGUCCAGACUCCUACGGGAGGCAGCAGUGGGGAAUAUUGCGCAAUGGGGGGAACCCUGACGCAGCCAUGCCGCGUGAAUGAAGAAGGCCUUCGGGUUGUAAAGUUCUUUCGGUAUUGAGGAAGGUUGAUGUGUUAAUAGCACAUCAAAUUGACGUUAAAUACAGAAGAAGCACCGGCUAACUCCGUGCCAGCAGCCGCGGUAAUACGGAGGGUGCGAGCGUUAAUCGGAAUAACUGGGCGUAAAGGGCACGCAGGCGGACUUUUAAGUGAGGUGUGAAAUCCCCGGGCUUAACCUGGGAAUUGCAUUUCAGACUGGGAGUCUAGAGUACUUUAGGGAGGGGUAGAAUUCCACGUGUAGCGGUGAAAUGCGUAGAGAUGUGGAGGAAUACCGAAGGCGAAGGCAGCCCCUUGGGAAUGUACUGACGCUCAUGUGCGAAAGCGUGGGGAGCAAACAGG
rnacentral:rRNA from 1 species